AACGAACGCUGGCGGCGUGCUUAACACAUGCAAGUCGAACGCGAACGUUUUCUUCGGAAAACUAGUAGAGUGGCGCACGGGUGAGUAACGCGUAAGUAAUCUACCCUCGCAUCUGGGAUAACCCACCGAAAGGUGUGCUAAUACCUGAUACGUCUGGAAUUAUACUUUGAAUUCAGAGAAAGGUGGCCUCUUCAUGAAAGCUACUGUGCGGGGAGGAGCUUGCGUACCAUUAGCUAGUUGGUAGGGUAAGGCCUACCAAGGCGAUGAUGGUUAGCGGGUCUGAGAGGAUGAUCCGCACACUGGAACUGGAACACGGUACCAGACUCCGUACGGGAGCAGCAGUGA
rnacentral:rRNA from 1 species